AAGCAGAGAACGUGAAGAAAGGUGGAGAGGUAAUGAGGAUCAAUUUGGUCAUUGGUUAUGAGAAGACCACGCUCAUCUAGGACUCUAUUAGCAUCCAUCAUAAAAUCAUACAUGAAGGUUGGAUAUCAAAGAUUAUGUCACAUGAUUUGAGGAUCUUGAACCUGCGUUUCAUGUCUUGACGCUUUUUAACAUAUGAAUGAAGUGCGGUAAGAGAUGUGAGCAUCCCACCAAGGACAAGGCUUUGGAUACUGUGAUACAGACCAUAUCAAGAGGAUCUUCAAAAGUUUAUAUUUUAAUGACUUGGCCUUCAUAUAAUUAAGCAUGACAAGGAACACAGUAUUUGAAGUAUAUCAA